UUCUGUGCAUGCACAGAAUCUGGGCCCAGGUGACUUAUGGAACCUUUAUAGAGACCAAGGUGACUGACAUUCAUGGGAAAGGGGGUAGAGGGGCAAUAACUGACUGUUCGUCAAAAAUUAUUAGACGAGUGUGUCCACGACACCAGGAGAUAUGUUGAAUCAUGGACAGGUACCAGCAUAUCCACUAAGCUCUAUAUAUGUUGAUGGUGCAAGAUCCAAGUGGGAUGGAACAACAAAUUCCUGCUCAUCCUCCUGCUCAAUAAUACAUGUGCUCAGAAUCUGUUCAUAAUGCAUGGUGAGAUGGGAUCUCACUGUGCUGCCCAGGCUGGUCUCGAACUGCUGGACUCAAGUAAUCCUCCCAUCUUGGCCUCCCAAAGUGCUGGGAUUAUAGUGGACAACCUUGAAUGCACUGGUACUUUGUACCCUGACCUCUACUGUAAUGAAAACUCAACUUGGGCAAGGAAGUGAAAUUCUCCAAAGUGGGUUCUGACCCAAUCAGCAGCCUUUGCUUCUCAGAUUCUUCUCAGGGCUUUAUGACUCUUCUCACCCCAGGAAACCCUACAACACGCACAGCCUUCCAGAACUGCUACACGGAAUGGACAUUCCUCUGGGCUCCAACUGAAUGUUUGUAAACAAAAUAAUGACUGCGCGUCCUUAUUUUUGCGGAGUACACAG
rnacentral:antisense_RNA from 1 species